UACAGUUUGACGUCGUUUCUUAAUAGGCCUACAAUAGCACAGUAUAGCAUAGAUUAUAUUACAAAAACAAAUAUAUAUAACGAAAAUGAAAUACUAGCCAUCGUCACCCACUGAGAUCUAUUGCUUUUAACUAGAGUGGUACCACGAAACGAAUGCAUUAAUAAAAGAGACAUUUAUUCACGUUGUGGUCUACUAGUUAAUUAUUCCAGUAGCUCGUAAACCCCAGUUCAAGCCUCGUGAAACACAAGGGAUCCGCAGGACACAGUUUGGGAAAUACUGGUGCAGUAGAACAUUUUUAAUCGAAAGCAAACCAAGAAGAAUGUUUCGUCUUUGUGUGUGUCUCACUGUCUUUGUGGUGAGCACUCUGGAACUGGGCAGCGCAGAAGUCCUGUGUUCAUUCAACAAAAAUUACUACAAAGUAGGAAGCUUAGUUCUGGAAUCGGAUUGUAAAUACUGCAUGUGUGAGGCUAAUAAUAAAAUCAGGUGCUACUACAGGUAUUGUAAUUUAAAGAAAGGCCGAAAGAGGACGGCAUAACGAAGGGGACACAGAAAUAUAAUGAAAUAAAAUCAUUGUUCUCCAA
rnacentral:sRNA from 1 species